rnacentral:rRNA from 1 species
GACAGAGGCCUCAAGCGUUAGGCGGAAUCACUGGGCUUAAAGCGUGUGUAGGCGGAUCGUUAAGUGUCUUGUGAAAUCCCACGGCUCACCCGUGGAACUGCUGGGCAUACUGGCGAUCUUGGGCCAACUAGGGGCAACUGGAACAAGCGGUGGAGCGGUGAAAUGCGUAGAUAUCGCUUGGAACGCCAACGGUGAAAACAGGUUGCUGGGGUUGUGCCGACGCUG